rnacentral:misc_RNA from 1 species
UGAAAUGCGAAAAGUAAUGCGAUUUGCACGAAUCUGUGAGUCAUCAAGUCUUUGAACGCACCUUGCACCGCAUGAGUAAUCGUGCGGUAUACCUGUUUGAGAAUCGUAAAACUCUCUUUCCACUAGCCAGUGGGAGAUUUGUCGGUUGUGCUGCGUCAGCGGCACUCUGAUCAAAAGUAGUAGGUCUGGAUCAGGCUGGUGGCCUGGGACAUUGUGUGCUAGAGACGUCGCUUCGGCUGACCGUCUUCUCACAGUGCGUCCCGGGCCAUCUAAAGCUGGCCUGGUCAGUAGGGCCUUUACAGUGGCCCCUUCGGGGGUCACAACCCCCCUUUUUGAUCUCAAAUCAGGUAAGGCUACCCGCUGAACUUAA